rnacentral:rRNA from 1 species
GUGCCAGCAGCCGCGGUAAUACGGAGGGAGCUAGCGUUGUUCGGAAUUACUGGGCGUAAAGCGCACGUAGGCGGACUGAUCAGUUGGGGGUGAAAGCCCAGGGCUCAACCCUGGAACUGCCUUCAAUACUGUCAGUCUUGAGUCCGAGAGAGGUGAGUGGAAUUUCCAGUGUAGAGGUGAAAUUCGUAGAUAUUGGAAAGAACACCAGUGGCGAAGGCGGCUCACUGGCUCGGUACUGACGCUGAGGUGCGAAAGUGUGGGGAGCAAACAGGAUUAGAUACCCUGGUAGUCCACACCGUAAACGAUGGAUGCUAGUUGUCGGGCAGCAUGCUGUUCGGUGACGCAGCUAACGCAUUAAGCAUCCCGCCUGGGGAGUACGGCCGCAAGGUUAAAACUCAAAUGAAUUGACGGGG